UACAGAGGUCCCAAGCGUUGUUCGGAUUCAUUGGGCGUAAAGGGUGUGUAGGUGGCGCCGUAAGUCGGGUGUGAAAUUUCGGAGCUUAACUCCGAAACUGCAUUCGAUACUGCGGUGCUUGAGGACUGGAGAGGAGACUGGAAUUUACGGUGUAGCGGUGAAAUGCGUAGAUAUCGUAAGGAAGACCAGUGGCGAAGGCGGGUCUCUGGACAGUUCCUGACGCUGAGGCACGAAGGUCAGGGGAGCAAACGGG
rnacentral:rRNA from 1 species